AGUUAGGGAAAGAGCCGAUUCAUUAGCAAUGAUCUACCGCUCCGAAGUCUCACUCCGAAGGCAAAGUACCUAACCUAUGGAAACAGUGAAUUAUAACACCAAUCUUCUAAACCGGUAGUAGAAGGAAGCGCUCAAACUAAAGACCGCUAUCACAAACAUUAGUACUGUGCAAGAUAAUGGAGAGCUUCAUUCAUGAGUGAAUCACAAAGUACUGCUAUAACAAUGAUCUAUUCACAAAGGAUCAACACAGUUUUUUACCUAAACGAGGCUGUGUCUAACCUACUAGAAGCUUACAACAUUCUGAUGGACGCAGUACACCGUAACUAUGCCAUAGACGUUAUAUAAACUGACUUUCCAAAAGUCUUUGACAAAGUGUUGAACAAAAGACUUCUGCAUAAACUAAGAGCUUACGGUUUAUGCGGCGCACUGUUCAGGUGGAUAUCAAACUGGCUGGCUAACCGAAAGCAAUGGGUUGUUGUUGGCAAAGCUACUGAGUAGAAAGAGGUAACUAGUGGAGUACCUCUUGGAUUGGUACUAGUACCGUUGCUCUUCAUUCUCUACAUAAAUAACCUACCGGACAACAUAGCUCACCACAUUAAGAUAUAUGCCGACAACAGCAAAAUACUAGUUUUCAUCAAAAAAGAGGAGGGCAAAGCACGUCUUGAGCUAGAUAUUGAUAAAACAGUAGAAUGGUACAAAAUGGUGGCUAAUGCUCUUUAACAUGGACAAAUGCACGUAGGGUGCUCCAACAAAUCAGUCUAAUACUACACAAUGACUGAUCAGACGGGAAUAAGACAAAAACAGGGUACAACAAAACAGUAGAAUGGCACAACAAAUUCAAUUUUCUCAACACAAAACAUGUUGAGAAAAUUGAAUUUGUUGUGCCUCAAGUCUAAGCGUAAACGCUUUCCUAGUGUAAAUUUCUUGGCAAUAACUUAGGACUUACCAAGCCAUUAGUCAAGAACUGUAUCGAAAGAGAAAAGUUCUUGUAGUCAACACUUGGAAUGCUUUACCAUCAAGCGUUGUUAACUCCUUUUCAACCGACGCAUAAAGCGUCCAAUAUUUGUAGUUGUGUCCAAUAUUUGUAGUUUAAGCGUCUAAAAUUUGGAGGUGCCUGGUGCUGUAUAUGUGUAUAUGAAUGUGCGGUUCUCAAUGACAAGACCUUAUACUCUUUUACAAGUGUUCGCAUUCUUAUUGUAAAGUUAACAAAGUUUGUAAUUCUUAUUAUAUGUAUUUUAUGUAUUUUAUUCAUUCAAAAAAAGUAUUGCUUCACUAA